rnacentral:lncRNA from 8 species
UACAGGUGUGUGUUGUGUGUUAGUAUUCAGGUGUGUGUUGUGUGUUAGUAUUCAGGUGUGUAUUGUGAAAGGUUGGUAUACAAAAUAAUAUUUACUCACAAAGACAGCUUAGCUCCAUUAAUGUGUGUUUGUUUGUGAUGACAUUAUGUAUUCCAUUAUUUGCAGCUGGGUGGAGUGAGGUAUGGUGACGCAGAGGAGGGAGAGAAGGACAAGAUGCUCUCACAGAGGGAGCAAGAGUCAUUGACCUUGGAGGAUCGGUUGCCAGGAUACAUGAUCAACGUGUCAGUCAUUCUAAUGAUGGUACUGUCACUACCACACUUCCUGUUUUACCCCUAUCCAUCACUCUAUCAUUCUAUCCUUCUAUACCUCUAAUUACCCCUAUCCAUCACUCUAUCCUUCUAUCCUUCUAUACCUCUAAUUACCCCUAUCCAUCACUCUAUCCUUCUAUCCUUCUAUACCUCUAAUUAUAACUAUCCUUCUAUACCUCUAAAUAUCACUAUCCUUUAUACUCCCAUCUAGCACUAUCCUUCUAUACCUCUAAAUAUCACUAUCACUCUAUACCUCUAAUUAUAACUAUCCUUCUAUUCCUCUAAAUAUCACUAUCACUCUAUACCUCUAAUUAUAACUAUCCUCUAUACCUCCAAUUAUAACUAUCCUAAGAACACUACACACAAUAUGGGUUGAAAUAACCCAGCGCAAACCAGUCUAGUGUGCACAUACACGAAACAACAAACAAUUCCUCACACAGACAUGGGGGGAACAGAGGGUUAUAUACACGUCAAAUACUGGGGGAAUUGAAACCAGGUGUGUAGGAAAACAAGACAAGAUAAAUGGAAAAAAUGAAAGGUGGAUCGGCGAUGGCUAGAAAACCGAUGAAGUCGACCGCCGAACGCCGCCCGAACAAGGAGAGGGACCGACUUCAGCUGAAGUCAUGACACUAUCACUCUAUACCUCUAAUUAUAACUAUCAUUCUAUACCUCCAAUUAUAACUAUCCUUCUAUUCCUAUAAUUAUAACUAUCACUCUAUACCUCUAAUUAUAACUAUCACUCUAUACCUCUAAAUAUCACUAUCCUUCUAUACCUCUAAUUAUAACUAUCACUCUAUACCUCUAAAUAUCACUAUCACUCUAUACCUCUAAUUAUAACUAUCCUUCUAUACCUCUAAAUAUCACUAUCCCUCUAUAGCCCCAUCUAGCACUACCCUUCUAUACCUCUACCUAGCACUCUAUCCAUCUCUACCUAGCACUCUAUCCUUCUAUUCCUCUAAUUAUAACUAUCACUCUAUACCUCUAAUUAUAACUAUCACUCUAUACCUCUAAUUAUAACUAUCACUCUAUACCUCUAAUUAUAACUAUCCUUCUAUACCUCCAAUUAUAACUAUCCUUCUAUUCCUCUAAUUAUAACUAUCACUCUAUACCUCUAAUUAUAACUAUCACUCUAUACCUCUAAAUAUCACUAUCCUUCUAUACCUCUAAAUAUCACUAUCCUUCUAUACCUCGAAUUAUCACUAUCCUUCUAUACCUCUAAUUAUAACUAUCCUUCUAUACCUCUAAUUAUAACUAUCCUUCUAUACCUCUAAAUAUCACUAUCCCUCUAUACCCCCAUCUAGCACUACCCUUCUAUACCUCUACCUAGCACUCUAUCCAUCUCUACCUAGCACUCUAUCCUUCUAUACCUCUACCUAGCACUCUAUCCUUCUAUACCUCUACCUAGCACUCUAUCCUUCUAUACCUCUACCUAGCACUCUGUCCAUCUAUACCUCCAUCUGGUACUCUAUCCUUCUAUACCUUCAUCUAGCACUCUGUCCAUCUAUACCUUCAUCUAGCACUCUGUCCAUCUAUACCUCUAAGUAUCAAUUUAUACCUCCAUUUAUAAUCACUCUCUUUUUAUACAUCUAUCAAUCUAUCCUUC